UACGUAGGGUGCGAGCGUUGUCCGGAAUUAUUGGGCGUAAAGAGCUUGUAGGCGGUUUGUCGCGUCUGCUGUGAAAAUCCGAGGCUCAACCUCGGACUUGCAGUGGGUACGGGCAGACUAGAGUGUGGUAGGGGAGACUGGAAUUCCUGGUGUAGCGGUGAAAUGCGCAGAUAUCAGGAGGAACACCGGUGGCGAAGGCGGGUCUCUGGGCCGAUAUUGACGCUGAGGAGCGAAAGCGUGGGGAGCGAACAGG
rnacentral:rRNA from 1 species